ensembl:lncRNA
UUCAUUCUCCAGCUGCAAAACCUGAACACUUGAGAGCUCUGCAAGGAGAAAUACACGCAAUUCUGACCGCAGCAGCGCCUGUGCCCCCUUAUCCCUGAUGGCUCGGGCUGUGUGAGGAAGAGCGGCCUCACCCCAGCCCCGCGUUGGCGCGAGCAGUCGUGGUGAGCGCAUCCCUCCCUGCUCUCCUGCACAGCUCCGGGUGCCCGAGGCACGCAGUGCUUGUGUCGGGCUCUGCAGAGGAGCGCAGCCAGUGGGAGCUCGUGCCUAUCGGGCUGCCGGGAGUAGCCGCACGGAGCGACGGAGACAACUUCAGGGGUGUACUUCUAACAGCUCUCCUGCAGCUAUCAGCACAUGCCGGUGGACUUGUUAUAGCACGCUGAACGGCACGUUCUUGCUGGCUCACUGGGGCCUGAUCCAAAGCUUACUGCAGGCAACAAGGAAGAUUCGUGGACUUCUUCAGUGGCCUUUGGACUGCCCUGCGGACACAGAAGCACAAUGGCUGGGAUCUGCACAGCGGAAUAUUCAGCUCAGGAGCUAGGAGUUUCUGAUAAAUCACCGCAGGGAUUUACCCCAGGGUCUCUUCUACAGUGUUUCAAGUAAAGAGGAUGCUGGGAUGGAGUAUUUAGCUAACAGCGUAAUCAUGCAGUGAUGAACUGCAGAGUUCACAGCCAAAGAACUGAUCUGCAAGCAAUGCUGGAG